UACGAAGGGGGCUAGCGUUGCUCGGAAUCACUGGGCGUAAAGCGCACGUAGGCGGAUUGCUAAGUCAGGGGUGAAAUCCCGGAGCUCAACUCCGGAACUGCCUUUGAUACUGGCGAUCUUGAGUCCGGGAGAGGUGAGUGGGAUUCCUAGUGUAGAGGUGAAAUUCGUAGAUAUUAGGAAGAACACCAGUGGCGAAGGCGGCUCACUGGACCGGUAUUGACGCUGAGGUGCGAAAGCGUGGGGAGCAAACAGG
rnacentral:rRNA from 1 species